rnacentral:tRNA from 1 species
GCGCUCGUAGCUCAGCUGGAUAGAGCAGCGGGUUUCUAACCCGCCAGUCGCAGGUUCGAGUCCUGCCGGGCGCA